rnacentral:rRNA from 1 species
GAUGAACGCUGGCGGCGUGCCUAAUACAUGCAAGUCGAGCGGACAGACGAGGAGCUUGCUCCUUUGACGUUAGCGGCGGACGGGUGAGUAACACGUGGGUAACCUACCUAUAAGACUGGGAUAACUUCGGGAAACCGGAGCUAAUACCGGAUAAUAUUUCGAACCGCAUGGUUCGAUAGUGAAAGAUGGCUUUGCUAUCACUUAUAGAUGGACCUGCGCCGUAUUAGCUAGUUGGUAAGGUAACGGCUUACCAAGGCAACGAUACGUAGCCGACCUGAGAGAGUGAUCGGACACACUGGAACUGAGACACGGUCCAGACUCCUACUGGAGGCAGCAGUAGGGAAUCAUCCGCAAUAGGCGAAAGCCUGACGGGGCAACGCCGCGUGAGUGAUGAAGGUCUUCGGAUCGUAAAACUCUGUGAUUAGGGAAGAACAAGCGUGUAAGUAACUGUGCACGUCUUGACGGUACCUAAUCAGAAAGCCACGGCUAACUACGUG